rnacentral:misc_RNA from 1 species
GGAAGCAAAAGUCGUAACAAGGUUUCCGUAGGUGAACCUGCGGAAGGAUCAUUACCAAAUCCGCUGCUGCAGUGCAUGCGCUGCAACACACGCCCGCGGCACGUUCGCUCUGCCGCGACAUUUCUGCGAGUCGUCUGAUUGCCGCGAACACACGAAUGACUUUUAACAAUGGAUCUCUAGGCUCCC